rnacentral:rRNA from 1 species
GGUUAAGCGACUAAGCGUACACGGUGGAUGCCCUGGCAGUCAGAGGCGAUGAAGGACGUGCUAAUCUGCGAUAAGCGUCGGUAAGGUGAUAUGAACCGUUAUAACCGGCGAUUUCCGAAUGGGGAAACCCAGUGUGUUUCGACACACUAUCAUUAACUGAAUCCAUAGGUUAAUGAGGCGAACCGGGGGAACUGAAACAUCUAAGUACCCCGAGGAAAAGAAAUCAACCGAGAUUCCCCCAGUAGCGGCGAGCGAACGGGGAGGAGCCCAGAGCCUGAAUCAGUGUGUGUGUUAGUGGAAGCGUCUGGAAAGGCGCGCGAUACAGGGUGACAGCCCCGUACACAAAAAUGCACAUAUUGUGAGCUCGAUGAGUAGGGCGGGACACGUGGUA